UACGUAGGGUGCGAGCGUUGUCCGGAAUUAUUGGGCGUAAAGAGCUCGUAGGCGGUUUGUCGCGUCGGCUGUGAAAACCUGGGGCUCAACCCCGGGCCUGCAGCCGAUACGGGCAAACUAGAAUUCGGUAGGGGAGACUGGAAUUCCUGGUGUAGCGGUGAAAUGCGCAGAUAUCAGGAGGAACACCGGUGGCGAAGGCGGGUCUCUGGGCCGAUACUGACACUGAGAAGCGAAAGCGUGGGGAGCGAACAGG
rnacentral:rRNA from 1 species